UGGAAGCUUUCUAACUCUAAUCUCAACCAGUCAAAAUCUUGUUAGAUUAUAUCUGGGUCAAUUACUGUCUUUUCUACAGAAUGCAUCUCCCGAACAAAAGCAAGUUAAGGAGCAACGAAAUUUUUUUUUAAAUAAAAACAAAACCAAUUGAUACCAAAAUUCAAUGCAGUUUCUUAACCAUUUAUUAAAAUAAUUAAAAGUGAAACAUUUACAAUUUUUCAUAUUGCAUAUAAAACACAAAAAUUAAAUU